GAACGCUGGCGGCGUGCUUAACACAUGCAAGUCGAACGGAAAGGCCCUGCUUUUGUGGGGUGCUCGAGUGGCGAACGGGUGAGUAACACGUGAGUAACCUGCCCUUGACUUUGGGAUAACUUCAGGAAACUGGGGCUAAUACCGGAUAGGAGCUCCUGCUGCAUGGUGGGGGUUGGAAAGUUUCGGCGGUUGGGGAUGGACUCGCGGCUUAUCAGCUUGUUGGUGGGGUAGUGGCUUACCAAGGCUUUGACGGGUAGCCGGCCUGAGAGGGUGACCGGCCACAUUGGGACUGAGAUACGGCCCAGACUCCUACGGGAGGCAGCAGUGGGGAAUAUUGCACAAUGGGCGGAAGCCUGAUGCAGCAACGCCGCGUGCGGGAUGACGGCCUUCGGGUUGUAAACCGCUUUCGCCUGUGACGAAGCGUGAGUGACGGUAAUGGGUAAAGAAGCACCGGCUAACUACGUGCCAGCAGCCGCGGUGAUACGUAGGGUGCGAGCGUUGUCCGGAUUUAUUGGGCGUAAAGGGCUCGUAGGUGGUUGAUCGCGUCGGAAGUGUAAUCUUGGGGCUUAACCCUGAGCGUGCUUUCGAUACGGGUUGACUUGAGGAAGGUAGGGGAGAAUGGAAUUCCUGGUGGAGCGGUGGAAUGCGCAGAUAUCAGGAGGAACACCAGUGGCGAAGGCGGUUCUCUGGGCCUUUCCUGACGCUGAGGAGCGAAAGCGUGGGGAGCGAACAGGCUUAGAUACCCUGGUAGUCCACGCUGUAAACGGUGGGUACUAGGUGUGGGGUCCAUUCCACGGGUUCCGUGCCGUAGCUAACGCUUUAAGUACCCCGCCUGGGGAGUACGGCCGCAAGGCUAAAACUCAAAGGAAUUGACGGGGCCCCGCACAAGCGGCGGAGCAUGCGGAUUAAUUCGAUGCAACGCGUAGAACCUUACCUGGGUUUGACAUGGAUCGGGAGUGCUCAGAGAUGGGUGUGCCUCUUUUGGGGUCGGUUCACAGGUGGUGCAUGGCUGUCGUCAGCUCGUGUCGUGAGAUGUUGGGUUAAGUCCCGCAACGAGCGCAACCCUUGUUCACUGUUGCCAGCACGUUAUGGUGGGGACUCAGUGGAGACCGCCGGGGUCAACUCGGAGGAAGGUGGGGAUGACGUCAAGUCAUCAUGCCCCUUAUGUCCAGGGCUUCACGCAUGCUACAAUGGCUGGUACAGAGAGUGGCGAGCCUGUGAGGGUGAGCGAAUCUCGGAAAGCCGGUCUCAGUUCGGAUUGGGGUCUGCAACUCGACCUCAUGAAGUCGGAGUCGCUAGUAAUCGCAGAUCAGCAACGCUGCGGUGAAUACGUUCCCGGGGCUUGUACACACCGCCCGUCAAGUCAUGAAAGUUGGUAACACCCGAAGCCGGUGGCCUAACCGUUGUGGGGGAGCCGUCGAAGGUGGGACUGGUGAUUAGGAC
rnacentral:rRNA from 1 species